ensembl:lncRNA
CUUACUCAUACCGAGAUACCUCAGAUAUAGAGGCCUUCUCUGCAUAUGAAAGAGAGAGAAAAAGAAAGAGAGAGAGGCAGAAAAAGAAAGAGAGAGAGAGAGAGAGAACGAGACAGAAAAAAGCUAAUUUUGCAGAAAGGUGCCUGUUUUGGAAAAGACUUCAAAAAGAAGUGCAAAUGUUAAUGGAAAUGUGAAGGAGGAAAGUGAGUUGUGUAGAGCAGGCCUCGCUGUACUGGUGGUCUCUCUGGGUUUUUUUCUGCCGUAUCUUUUGAAAUGACUCAUCUUGACCUUUAUGAUAACGAUUUACUGUGCUGCCGUAGACCUGCUCACUCAGAGUGCUCUAGGGGUCUGACAGAGUCGCAUCUCAGUCUGUCUCUCUCUCUCACACACUUACAAGAUGCUGUGUUUCCAGUGGGGCUGUCUCCUCUUCCUAACACACUUCCUCUCGGGUUGUCAUCCCCUGAACUGUGAUAAGAAAUAUGAGUAUGAGUGGCCUGAUAUCAAUCCUACAUGGUGCUGCAAGAAAUGUCAUCCAGGACAGUUCAUGCAGAAGAGAUGUAUGAAAGACGUUGGCACGGAGUGUUCAUCAUGUGGAGCGGACAACUACAGGGACGAUUACAAUUAUGAAUUCAAAUGCAAGAGGUGCUCUGAGUGUACCAAACCAAAUAUGGAGCCCAAAAAGUCCUGCACUCCAACGAGUAAUACAGAGUGUGGCUGUAAGAGUGGAUUUAUAUGCAACAAUAAACAAUGCGACCAAUGCGUAAAACCACCACCAACAACUACAAAACCACCACCAACAACGACAACAAAAACAACAACAACAACAGUUAUGCCUACUAUUAAACCGACUAGACGGACACCAACUUCUUUUGACAGUGUGUGGAUCUCUCUGAGUCUGUGUUGUGCGUGUGUGUGCAUUCUGCUGCUUACCUGUUUCAUUCUCAUCAGCAGACACACACCUGCACGUGGAUGGGCAGUAUCAGCAUCUAAAGAUUACUGUUUUUGGCACCCAAGGAAAAGCUCAGCAACUUCCAGUGAGUGCACAGAGGAGGAGGAGGUGCCGAUGCCCGUCCAGGAGGUGUGCGGAGGAAAGGAGUAUCCGGAAGACGUCUGAGAGUGAUAGAGUUGUGAUGAGAGAAGGAGGCAAGAGAUUGCACAUGAGCGUGUGGGUGGAGUAUUAACGUACACAGGACUGAGAGACACAGACGCACAUGUCUGUCUCUCUACCAUGAUCUUCUUCACAGAGAAGGAGCAUCUUCAUUCACUGCAGAUACACACUUACAGUACCCAUGUCUCCAAAGUGGCAACUUAACAGGAGAUGGGAUUUUUUUUUUUUUAACCUCCAGUGGAUGUCAAUUAAAACAGACUGAAUUUCUUUUAUUUAAAUUAUAUAUUUGGUCACAAUGUAACGGACCUGACAGAGUAACAUCAUGAAACUACUUUGAGUACUACUGACUUUUUGAGUACAAACCACUGCAUACACCUGAAACACCUCACAAAACCAUUUAAAACUCAUUUUGGAGAUGUUCUGACCCUGUCAGAUCCAGUCUAUCCAUCACAAUUUGGCUCUUGUAAAAAGUAAAUCAGAUUCUUUCCAAAAAAGCUUGCCAAGCUUUCCUGUUUCCAACAUAUCAGCUUCAAGAACUCACUGAUUACUUGCUGCCUAACACAUUUAAAUUUAUUUAUGAAAUUUAGCUCACACUAUUAUUAUUAUGUAAGAGCGACGUACAAGGUUACUCAUAUUACAGAAGUGGGCCAAUAAGAGGUUCUAGGAGUCUUGGCCCAAUGACUCUUAUUGGUGUAGAGCAGCAUCAUCACCCAUAGUGUGACAGCUCACAGACAGGUCAAGGUGUUAUCCACUGCACCACACCAACCAGACGUAUCCCACCUCUAAACAAGUGCCACUGAUCCAGAUCAUCAGUGUUAUUCACUUCAACUGUCGUAGUUUUAUUGUGAUAGCUGAUCAGUGUAUUUAUUUUAUGUAGUUUAAACUGUAUAUUUUAUUCAGGAGUCACAGUUUGUUUUUGAGAUAUCUGAGGCUUCAAAAUUCUAAGAAUUCUUAGAUUUUUCAAAACACUCAGUGACGACAAAUGAUCUUUUAGUGAACGAGGACG